rnacentral:snRNA from 1 species
AUCGCUUUCUCGGCCUUUUGGCUAAGAUCAAGUGUAGUAUCUGUUCUUAUCAGUUUAAUAUCUGAUACGUCCCCCCAUCCGGGGACUACAUAUUAAAUGGAUUUUUAGAUCACGGAGCUGGAGCCGGGGCUUGCUCCGUCCACUCCAUGCAUCGGCCUGGUAUUGCAGUGUCUCCAGGAACGGUGUGCUUUCC